AUUAGUUCAAUAUAUAUAGUGUAUAGGAGGCACAGUACAAUAAGCGGAAAGAUCUCAUAUAUUAAAUCAACUAUGUUGCAUUACACUGAACACGAUCCAAACAUUACAAGAUGUGAAGCUAUCUACUAGUAGCAAACUUCUCGACCUUCGAAUCAACUAUAAUGUUUGAAACAUCGUACUGAAAAUGACACUCUAAUUAUCCCCAUUAUCUGCCUUGCAAUCAACAUCUGAGCCAUGCAUCAACCAUUUAUCUCGGCAAUCUACAAAAACAAAUAAUGAGAUGAGUAACUUACGGUAUAGAAAAUCAGGUUAAUAGAGAACAAAAAUGUAGAGGAGCAACAUACAAAUGUUGAAGGCCAUCACAUUAGUAACAUUCUAAGCAAUCUACAUCUCACACACUUCCGAUCCUUGUUUUCUUAUGAAGAAACCUGCUAGAUGUCAAUUGAGUUCUAGUAAAUCUUGAAGCAAACAUACAGUAUGUAAGAUAUGAGGUACUUCCUUUGAAAAAAAAUGUGCUGACAUACCACACAACCUUCGUUUUCACACAGAGAUCAGCAGUUCUCCUAAACAAAUAGAUGCAAUGUUUCAACAAUUUAAAAAUACUUUAUGUUCUAAGAAACAAUAUAAGCAUCAAGUUAAAAAGGAACAAUAUAGGCAUCAAAUUAAAAAGGAACAAUAUAAGCAUCAAGUACAAUAUACUAUGUACAGUCAUACAAAUGCAUGUCAUGUGUCUGGUGCAAUUCUAUCAUGAAUAAUGUACUGGUUAUCAUUUGUGAAUUAUGUGAAGGUCACAUCUUAAGUGGAUUUUGAGUUAACUUCUUCUGAGCGCUCCUUCCUCAUUAUAUUUGCUCCCUUGAUCUCUUCCUUCCUACUCAAUGGUUACAUUUUUAGUACAACAAUAGCAAGGCAAAUUUUAGUACAGCAAUGCAAAAAUUUAGUAACAAGAUAAUUUAGUAAAACAAGGUAAAUUUUAGAACAAAAGUAAUAGAGUAAACUUUAGAACAGGAAGUCUAACUAUCUUGAAAAAAUAGGAUACUAGUCUCUCCAACCUACAGGACCCUUAGCACUCCGUAUUAAAUUGCACAUAUCAGUUUAGUACAAUAUUUAUAUCAGCAUAAAAUCUAUAAGGAGUUUCAUAAGAUAUCAAGCAUAGCAUUGCAUCAAAAUAGCAUAAGUAGUAAUGUAGAUUGGGAAUUUAC
rnacentral:lncRNA from 1 species